rnacentral:rRNA from 1 species
CCUACGGGCGGCAGCAGUAGGGAAUCUUCCACAAUGGGCGAAAGCCUGAUGGAGCAACGCCGCGUGGGUGAAGAAGGUCUUCGGAUCGUAAAACCCUGUUGUUAGAGAAGAAAGUGCGUGAGAGUAACUGUUCACGUUUCGACGGUAUCUACCCAGAAAGCCACGGCUAACUACGUGCCAGCAGCCGCGGUAAUACGUAGGUGGCAAGCGUUAUCCGGAUUUAUUGGGCGUAAAGGGAACGCAGGCGGUCUUUUAAGUCUGAUGUGAAAGCCUUCGGCUUAACCGGAGUAGUGCAUUAGAAACUGGGAGACUGGAGUGCAGAAGAGGAGAGUGGAACUCCAUGGGUAGCGGUGAAAUGCGUAGAUAUAUGGAAGAACACCAGUGGCGAAAGCGGCUCUCUGGUCUGUAACUGACGCUGAGGUUCGAAAGCGUGGGUAGCAAACAGGAUUAGAUACCCCAGUAGUC